AGUGAACGCUGGCGGUAGGCCUAACACAUGCAAGUCGAACGGCAGCACAGUAAGAGCUUGCUCUUACGGGUGGCGAGUGGCGGACGGGUGAGGAAUACAUCGGAAUCUACUUUUUCGUGGGGGAUAACGUAGGGAAACUUACGCUAAUACCGCAUACGACCUACGGGUGAAAGCAGGGGAUCUUCGGACCUUGCGCGAUUGAAUGAGCCGAUGUCGGAUUAGCUAGUUGGCGGGGUAAAGGCCCACCAAGGCGACGAUCCGUAGCUGGUCUGAGAGGAUGAUCAGCCACACUGGAACUGAGACACGGUCCAGACUCCUACGGGAGGCAGCAGUGGGGAAUAUUGGACAAUGGGCGCAAGCCUGAUCCGGCCAUACCGCGUGGGUGAAGAAGGCCUUCGGGUUGUAAAGCCCUUUUGUUGGGAGAGAAAAGCAGCAGGUUAAUACCCCGCUGUUCUGACGGUACCCAAAGAAUAAGCACCGGCUAACUUCGUG
rnacentral:rRNA from 1 species